rnacentral:lncRNA from 10 species
GAGGGAUGGAGCCGCCUAAAUUGGGUGGCUGGCAGUGGAGAGGAAGUGACACUGCCUAAAGAACCGUUUUCGUGAUCUGCCCCUCCCGAGCAAGCUAGCCUUCCCGAGAUGGCCCAAGACGCCUCCUCCUGGGGUCUGGGGUGAAGGCCGUCCUUGGGGACUGGGAGCCUGGCUUGUUUACCUAAGGCUCCGCUGAGGCGCAAGGUGGACAGGGACGUGAGAGAAGUAGGGUGACCGCCUCCCCUAGCUCCGUGCCCCGGGCAUAGGGCCCACAGGGCAUAGCAUCCCUAGAUGCGCGUUGCUGGAGGAACCCAGGGCACUGUCAGAGGCUUGGGUGCAGGUGCGCCCAAAAAUGCUGCCCUCUCAGAGGCUACAAUAGGUUAAAAAAAAAGAGAGAAAAAAAAAAAAGAAAUGCCGCUCUCGCAAGGCCUACAGCACAUUCCACACCGCCCACAAAGGCCAGUGGGAAGAGAGGGUAAAGGGAAGCUCUUUGCCGAGGUCUCAAUGUCUGGACUGACACUUGAGCUACCAGGGAGCCCUAGAGGGAGCCAAACUAGACCUUGGGUCAGGAAGACAGGGAAUGUCCAGGGCAUCCAAGACGUUCAUCUUGUAUUGCUUCAUUUCUGCC